AUCCGGAGACCAGAGCGUGCACUCCUGGGCCAUUUGCCAUCUCUGCACUGAGCAAAUCAGAUUCAUCAGAGAAUCCACAGUGUGCAUAUUUGCCAAUGCAGCAAAGGGCAACAGUUGCAAUAUCGUAAUUGCACCAUGGAGAGCAAGAACACCAGCUCCAUCCAAAGAUUUUUUGCACCUAUGAGGUAUUAGGUCGGUUUGCCUAUGUACACCUGAAACAUGAC